ensembl:snRNA U6 U6 spliceosomal RNA
GUGCUCGCUUCAGCAGCACAUAUACUAAAAUUGGAACAAUACAGAGAAGAUUAGCACGGCCCCUGGGCAAGGAUGACACACAAAUUCAUGAAGUGUUCUGUAUUUCU